GUUUGCUUAGCAUAGUGGUAAUUAUGUUAGCUCGUUGCGCUGAUAACACAAGUUCGAUUCUCGUAGAGAGAA